rnacentral:rRNA from 1 species
UGGGGAAUAUUGCGCAAUGGGCGAAAGCCUGACGCAGCAACGCCGCGUGAGUGAUGAAGGCCUUCGGGUUGUAAAGCCCUGUCGGGAGGGACGAAGUUCUGACGGUACCUCCCAAGAAAGCACCGGCUAACUCCGUGCCAGCAGCCGCGGUAAUACGGAGGGUGCGAGCGUUGCUCGGAAUCAUUGGGCGUAAAGCGUACGCAGGCGGUCUGGUUAAGUCGGGUGUGAAAGCCCGGGGCUCAACCCCGGAAAUGCGCCCGAAACUGGCAGGCUUGAGUGCGGGAGAGGGAAGCGGAAUUCCUGGUGUAGAGGUGAAAUUCGUAGAUAUCAGGAGGAACACCGGUGGCGAAAGCGGCUUCCUGGCCCGACACUGACGCUCAUGUACGAAAGCGUGGGGAGCAAACAGGAUUAGAUACCCACGUAGUCCCUG